rnacentral:sRNA from 1 species
AAUACUACAGCAGAAACGAAGAAAGGGCAAGAGGAGAGAAGGAUGGGGAUACAAGAUUCGCAAAGCAUAGGAGCUUCGGAGCCGUGAGGAGGAGCUGCUGCGGGCGGCGCAGGAGCAGCGCUUCCAGGAAGAGCAGCUGCGGCGGCGGGAGCAGGAGCUGGCAGAACGCGAGAUGGACAUCGUGGAACGGGAGCUGCACCUGCUCAUGUGCCAGCUGAGCCAGGAGAAGCCCCGGGUCCGCAAGCGCAAGGGCAACUUCAAGCGCAGCCGCCUGCUCAAGCUGCGGGAAGGCGGCAGCCACAUCAGCCUGCCCUCUGGUACCCACCCGUGACCCCAGAGCGCCCCCGAGAGGCUGCUGGGAGCAGCCCUGACCUAGGAUUUAUCUCUUCCUUUUCUUUUUCAACUUGUUUUUAUUGCUAAAUAUAUCGCACAUAGUCAGUGAUCAGCCCAGUGCAGUGGCGAGCACUUGUAGUCCCAGCCUACUCAGGAGGCCAAGCGGGGAGGAUCACUUGAGGCCAGGAGUUUGAGACCAGCCUGGGCAACAUAGACCCCAUAUUUACC